UUCCUAUGUUUGAGGAGGUAACUGUGAGCCUGGAACUUGUUUCUUUAAAUGAUGUCCUAACUGAUCUUGAUUGACGCCUAGAUUUUUAUCCUUUGAAACCUUAGGAAAGUCUAGAACUGUCCAAAGAAUAGAGGUCCUAAAAUACCUUCAGGGUCACAAGGAAGGGAUGGGUACUACAUCUUCUCUUAUUUUUAAUUAUGUGUUUAAAACUAUUUAUUUGUUAAAGGACUAGUUCAUAAGUAUAAGUUCGGCGGGGACUCACUGUUGUGGACCAAGAGAGGUACCUAACACCUUCCGCUCAAGGUUAUUAUAAGCCAUUAUCCUUAAUCUAUAUUAAUGCAAACCAAUGUAAGUCUGGGUACCCUAAAGCUCCAUAAUCCGUUAGGUGGAGACUCUUAAAAAAACCAAAUCCUAAAAGGAAAUAAGUUAUUACCCCAUGAAUGUCGAAACCCCCGUCAAGGGAGGAAAAAGGGGGUGCGACAACGAUAUUUUCAGAAUCCUAAUUUACAAAAACUUAGCCUACAGGCAACAAGAAUCAGAGAGAUCUAACAUGGAUCAUGUUGAAACAAUGGGAUAAAGCUUUUAAUCAAAAAGCACAAGACAUGGAUAUAUCUAAUAUCAUUUCAAAUAAUGAAUACCUCACUUAAUCUAACAUAUAUUAUCAUACAAACACACUAAAUAAGACAACCAAACAUCAUAGAAUGAAAAAUAGAAACAUCUUUAAGCUCUUCAUCUAGCAAAGUCACUCCUGAUUUUUGAAUUUUACGCUAGCAACAGAGAAUCAUCAGGAUGCCAAAUUUAAUACAUAAGAUAUGAGAACGAGAUGAACCUCUCAAGGCUUUCAAUUGAUCUUUCAGCAAAUUACAGCAAUCGAAAUGAAAUGAAUUUGAUGAAUCCACAACUAGAACUUAACCAAAACCUCUAACUAAAAACGCGAAACCUCAGCCUUCGAACUCGAAUAGCAGCUUCAAUAGCGAGGAGAUCGUUUAAAUCAACUCCAGUUUGAACGAAAAACAGAAAAGGAAAAUGGAAUUUUUUUUCGAAUUUUUAGAUUUUUGAAGCAAUACUAAGAACAAGCAAAACAAAACUAAUCAAUCCACGACUCCUGUUAAUCUGAAUAGUACCCUAAAGAGAAUCUAAGGGCAUAAAAUCUUGAAGGAAUAAUUCCGUUUGUCAGAGUUAGUUACGCUAUGUGGCAUUAGGAUAGAGGAGGGGGUACGUGAGAUGAGUUUGGGAUGAACUCAUCUGAAACUCAGACGAGUUUGGGCAAUUUCUGGUGAAGCUCGGCGCAGCGAAAAUAGGUUAGAUGGGUGACACCGUUUUUGGUGUUUGGAUUUAGGUUUAGGGUUUGGGGGAAUAUGUGGGUUAUAUUUGUUUGGGGAUUGGGGGUGGGGGGUUGACCCGGCCUG
rnacentral:lncRNA from 1 species